AACGAACGCUGGCGGCAUGCCUAACACAUGCAAGUCGAACGAGAUCUUCGGGUCUAGUGGCGCACGGGUGCGUAACGCGUGGGAAUCUGCCCUUUGGUUCGGAAUAACAGUUGGAAACGACUGCUAAUACCGGAUGAUGACGAAAGUCCAAAGAUUUAUCGCCAGAGGAUGAGCCCGCGUAGGAUUAGCUAGUUGGUGUGGUAAAGGCGCACCAAGGCGACGAUCCUUAGCGGGUCUGAGAGGAUGAUCAGCCACACUGGGACUGAGACACGGCCCAGACUCCUACGGGAGGCAGCAGUGGGGAAGAUUGGACAAUGGGCGAAAGCCUGAUCCAGCAAUGCCGCGUGAGUGAUGAAGGCCUUAGGGUUGUAAAGCUCUUUUACCCGGGAUGAUAAUGACAGUACCGGGAGAAUAAGCUCCGGCUAACUCCGUGCCAGCCGCCGCAGUAA
rnacentral:rRNA from 1 species